UCCUACGGGGCGCAGCAGUGAGGAAUAUCGGUCAAUGGGCGGAAGCCUGAACCAGCCAAGUCGCGUGAGGGAAUAAGGCCCUACGGGUCGUAAACCUCUUUUGCCGGGGAGCAAGGGCGGGGACGUGUCCCGGCCCGGAGAGUACCCGGAGAAAAAGCAUCGGCUAACUCCGUGCCAGCAGCCGCGGUAAUACGUAGGGAGCAAGCGUUAUCCGGAUUUAUUGGGUGUAAAGGGUGCGUAGACGGGAAAACAAGUUAGUUGUGAAAUCCCUCUGCUUAACUGAGGAACUGCAACUAAAACUAUUU
rnacentral:rRNA from 1 species